AUUGAACGCUGGCGGCAGGCUUAACACAUGCAAGUCGAGCGAGCGGCGGACGGGUGAGUAACGUCUGGGAAACUGCCUGAUGGAGGGGGAUAACUACUGGAAACGGUAGCUAAUACCGCAUACCAUCAGAUGUGCCCAGAUGGGAUUAGCUAGUAGGUGGGGUAAUGGCUCACCUAGGCGACGAUCCCUAGCUGGUCUGAGAGGCGGACCAGCCACACUGGAACUGGAACACGGCCCAGACCCCUACGGGAGGAAGCAGUGGGGAAUAUUGCACAAUGGGCACAAUCUGGAUGCAGCAAUGCCGCGUGUGUGAAGAGGGCUUUCGGGUUGUAAGGCACUUUCAGCGGGGAGGCGUUACUCGCAGAGGAAGCACCGGCUAACUCCGUGCCAGCAGCCGCGGUAAUAC
rnacentral:rRNA from 1 species